AUUUUGGUGGAGAAGAGGUAUUUUUUUCCUGUGGAUGAAUCCAAUAAUAUAUUCUUCAGGGGUAUAACAUACCUGGCUGCAAUGAGAGUGUACUACCAUAGUCUCUGUGAAGCUCAGUAAGUGGAGCACACACCUCUGGCAGAAGCCUCCUACCUGACCAGAGGUGAGGCGAGCCUCUGGAACUUCAGACAGACCAGAAGCUAUGCACAUUGCUAAAACUCCUGCCCCAAAUAUGGACAGCAACCCCCUAUUGAACCAGAAGCCAUCCAGGACUUCAGAAUUUCAGCCCCCAACUUUGGCACAGACCCUCUAAUUCACCAGAGUCCAUUUCAGCCAGAAGAUCAGAAAGGAAACAAAAACCAAAGAAGAAAACACCCAUCAAAUAAAGACAAACCAAGCUAUUGGCGCCUUGACUUAUAAUAACUCUAAAUCCAGAUAUCUAAAGGACAGUGCAAGAAUACAAUCAAAAAUAGUGAGGAUAAUACGUCACCACCAGAGACCAGGAAUAUGACUACAGCAAGUUCUGAAUAUUCUAACACAGCUGAAGCACACACACACAAAAAAAAAAAUCUUAAAACCAAAUUUAUGAAAAUGAUAGUGGUCCUUAAAGAGGAAAUCAAUAAAUCCCUUAAAGAAUUAAUUAAAAGACAAUAAAAAAAUUGGAGGAAAUCAAUAAAUCACUUAAAGAAUGUCAAGAAGGCCAAGAGAAAAUUAACAAACUGUUGAAGGAAAUGAACAAAAACUGUUCAAGGCCUGAAAUGGUAAUAGAAUCAAUAAAGAAAACAAAACUGAGGGAACUCUGAAAAUGGAAAAUCUAGAUAUGCAAACAGAACGUACAGACACAAGCAUUGGCAAUAGAAUACAAUAGAUGGAAAGAGAAUCUCAGGCAUCAAAGAUGUGACAGAAGAAAUAGAUACAUCAUCAGUCAAAGAAAAUAUUAAAUAAAAAAAUUCUGACACAAAACAUUCAGGAAGUCUGGUACACUAUGAAAACACCAAACCUAAGAAUAAUAGGAAUAGAAGAAAAAGAAGAUUUCUGGCUCAAAUUUUAACAAGAUUAUAGAAGAAAAAUUUCCAAAUCAAAAGGACAUGCCUAUAAAGGUACAAGAAGCUUAGAGAACACCAAAUAUCUUCGACCAGAAAAGAAAG